rnacentral:rRNA from 1 species
AUUGAACGCUGGCGGCAGGCUUAAUACAUGCAAGUCGAGCGAGCGGCGGACUGGUGAGUAAUGUCUGGGAAACUGCCUGAUGGAGGGGGAUAACUACUGGAAAAGGUAGCUAAUACCGCAUACCAUCAGAUGUGCCCAGAUGGGAUUAGCUAGUAGGUGGGGUAAUGGCUCACCUAGGCGACGAUCCCUAGCUGGUCUGAGAGGAUGACCAGCCACACUGGAACUGAGACACGGUCCAGACUCCUACGGGAGGCAGCAGUGGGGAAUAUUGCACAAUGGGCGCAAGCCUGAUGCAGCCAUGCCGCGUGUGUGAAGAAGGCCUUCGGGUUGUAAAGCACUUUCAGCGGGGAGGCGUUACUCGCAGAAGAAGCACCGGCUAACUCCGUGCCAGCAGCCGCGGUAAUUC